AAAGUCGUAACAAGGUUUCCGUAGGUGAACCUGCGGAAGGAUCAUUACCAUAUCCAAAAAAACUUUACCAACCCACCGUGUGAACUGUUUUUUUUUUCUUGGCUGCGGAAGGGACUGUGGUGUGUGGGUUUUUUGUUGUAAAAAACAAAAAAAGCACAUGGCACGGUUGCUGGCGGCCAGGAGAAAAAUUUCCCAACGUCAACCCCUGGUCAAACCAACUUUUUUUCGAACCUGACUUGGGUUUUUUUGUUUUGCUGCUCACUUUCGAGUGGCCGCCAAACCAAAAAACUCGACCAUAACAACAAAACCAAUAGACAACUUAUAACGGUGGAUCUCUUGGCUCGU
rnacentral:misc_RNA from 1 species